rnacentral:tRNA from 1 species
GCCUGGCUGGCUCAGUUGGUGAAGUGUGUGACUCUUAAUCUUGGGGUCAUGAGUUCAAGUCCCAUGUUGGGCA